UUCAAUGGGCGGGCUGUAGUGGGAGAGCCGCAAGGCUCGCCGUUUCGUUACGAUCACGGUCUGUCAAUCCCGCUACGUGCCCGCUCACCCUU
rnacentral:antisense_RNA from 1 species